rnacentral:rRNA from 1 species
CGGCGCACGGGUGAGUAACACGUAUCCAACCUGCCUCAUACUCGGGGAUAACCUUGUCGAAAGAAAGAUAAUAUCCGAUAGCAUAUAUUUCCCGCAUGGGUUUUAUAUUAAAGAAAUUCGGUAUGAGAUGGGGAUGCGUUCCAUUAGUUUGUUGGGGGGGUAACGGCCCACCAAGACUACGAUGGAUAGGGGUUCUGAGAGGAAGGUCCCCCACAUUGGAACUGAGACACGGUCCAAACUCCUACGGGAGGCAGCAGUGAGGAAUAUUGGUCAAUGGACGCGAGUCUGAACCAGCCAAGUAGCGUGAAGGAUGACUGCCCUAUGGGUUGUAAACUUCUUUUAUAUGGGAAUAAAGUUGUCCACGUGUGGAUUUUUGUAUGUACCAUAUGAAUAAGGAUCGGCUAACUCCGUGCCAGCAGCCGCGGUAAUACGGAGGAUCCGAGCGUUAUCCGGAUUUAUUGGGUUUAAAGGGAGCGUAGGCGGAUUGUUAAGUCAGUUGUGAAAGUUUGCGGCUCAACCGUAAAAUUGCAGUUGAUACUGGCAGUCUUGAGUGCAGUAGAGGUGGGCGGAAUUCGUGGUGUAGCGGUGAAAUGCUUAGAUAUCACGAAGAACUCCGAUUGCGAAGGCAGCUCACUGGAGUGUAACUGACGCUGAUGCUCGAAAGUGUGGGUAUC